rnacentral:lncRNA from 1 species
UUCCAUUCCAUUCCAUUCCAUUCCAUUCCAUUCCAUUCCAUUUCAUUCCUUUCCAGUUGAUUCCAUUCCAUUCCAUUGCAUUCCUUUCCAUUCCAAUCGGGUUGAUUUCAUUCCAUUCCAUUCCAUUCUAGUCAAUUCCAUUCCAUUCCAUUCCAUUCCAUUCCAGUCCAUUCUAUUCCAUUCCAUUCCUGUCCAUAACAUUCCACUCUGGUUGAUUUCAUUCCAUUCGAUUCCAUUCCAUUCUAUACCAUUACAUUGCACUCGAAUUGAUUCCAUUCUAUUCCAUUCCAUUCCAUUCCAUUCCAUUCCAUUCCAUUGCACUCGGGUUGAUUCCAUUCCAUUCCAUUCCAUUCCAUUACAUUCCACUCGGAUUGAUUCCAUUCCAUUACAUUCCAGUCCAUACCAUUCCAUUCCAUUCCACUCGGGUUUAUUCCACUCCAUUCCAUUCCAUUCCAUGCCGUUACAGUCCAUUCCAUUCCAUUCCACUCGGGUUGAUUCCACUCCAUUCCAUUCCAUUCCAUGCCGUUACAUUCCAUUCCAUUCCUUUCCAUUCCAUUCCAUUCCAUUCCAUUCCAUUCCAUCCGUUUCCGUUCUAUUCCACUGUGUUUGAUUCUAUUCCAUUCCAUUCCAUUCUAUACCAUUACAUUGCACUCGAAUUGAUUCCAUUCCAUUCCAUUCCAUUCCAUUCCAUUGCAGUCGAAUUGAUUCCAUUCCAUUCCAUUCCAUUCCACUCGGAUUGAUUCCAUUCCAUUCCAUUCCAGUCCAUAGCAUUCCAUUCCAUUCCACUCGGGUUUAUUCCACUCCAUUCCAUUCCAUUCCAUGCCAUUACAGUCCAUUACAUUCCAUUCCUCUCGGGUUGAUUCCACUCCAUUCCAUUCCAUUCCAUGCCGUUACAUUCCACUCCAUUCCAUUCCGUUCCAUUCCAUUCCAUUCCUUUCCGUUCCAUUCCAUUCCAUUCCUUUCCAUUCCAUUCCAUUCCAUUCCAUUCCACUCGGGUUCAUUCCAUUCCGUUCCAUUCUAUUCC